UGCACCCCCCCCUCCCCCACAACGCCUGCACCGGGCCCGGCGAGCCCUAAAUCAGUCGCCUCCAAAGCGCCCACAAACUACAAACGCAAAGUCCGCUGCAAAGUGUCUGCAGGAGGACUUAGCUUUUCUCCUCCAGCACCUAAGCCCCCUGCUGGUGUGGAGGUCGCGCAAUCCUUUGUCCUGCAAACCGAGUGCUCACCCGGUUUGAACCCUUCCCUCCCUGGAUUCCUGCCCUACGCCCCCCCCAACUCGUGCUUUUCUGGGAGCACCGAAGAGUGUGGUCCUGGGGUCACGACCCGCAGGACUUCUAGGUCCUGGCGGGGCCGGCAAGCGGCCGCUGGAGCGGUGGCAGCCCGUUUGGCACCACGAGGACUCUGGGGCCGGGCUGUGGGCACUUCUGAUCCUUGAGUGCAGGAGUGACCAGCAAAAAAAAGACAGGUGACCAGCAACAGUCAGUCACUUCUAGACCUCUCAGCUUCUUCAUGCUUAGUGUGCUUGGGAUAGUGCUGCGAUGGCCGGAGUCCCAGCAGCUGUUCUGGAGCAGGGGUUACCUAAGGACCCGAACCGUCCAUGACAGCAGCUUGAGGACCGCAGGAGAGCCGGCUGGCCGCGGGCACCGCAGGCUGGUCCUCGCCUGGCUUCUCGUACGCCCUGGAGAGGAGAGCUCCUAUUCCACCGCUUUGUAAAUGCAAGUUUGUCUGAGUCUCAUCUAGAUGGCUGGUCGGCAUUUCCAGAGGUUAAAACACAGAAUGAAGCUUGCUGUGGGGUGCUCAUGGAUACCUCAACACUCCAGAGAUGAUUACUUAAUCCAGCUGGGUGGCUGGCUGUGUGUCUCUGUCUCUGUCUAUCUGUCUGUCUCCCUCUGGCUUCCCUGGAGGGCCAGUUUGGGUGAAGGACACCCGACCUCUGGGCUGCAGGGUGUUAGUUUUGGGGUGAACUAUGAAGAUCACCCCCACGGUGGCGCUUUUUGCAGAAACCCGUCCUGUCCGGCACCCUGAGACCCGGGUGGCUCCGGGGAGACCCUCCUGCCUCUGCCUCCUCCCCGCUGACACCCCUAAAAGUCGUCCCCGCUCGGGGUGCCGGGAAGGAGGCGGGUUCUGCCCAGAAAACACUCUGCCGCGUCCCGUGACCAGCUCUGGCCCCACUUGAAGGAUCACGAGACAGACAGACGUGGACGCUUCCCUGCGGGGAACUUCAUCCCGAACCGCUGCGGGGCGGGCUCACGCGGCCUGGAAUCUGCCGACCUCUGAAAAGUUGGAAAAGCAUUUUUCGUCCUGAUUUAGAGCACAUUGCUACGUUUUGGAAAAUGCCAAAUUAAAAACAUCAGGUCUCAAA